GUAUACUCUGCCACCAUCAGUUUGUUUCAGUUAGGGCAGUGGUGGCCUUAAGGUUAGAGAAGCAAGCUUGUGACCAGGAGGUCGUCUUUUCAAUCCCCAGACCCACAGGAUAAAAUCUGGGUGGGGGAAGUGAAAGAGCAGCGCUUGUCUCUCCA